rnacentral:rRNA from 1 species
GACGAACGCUGGCGGCGUGCCUAAUACAUGCAAGUCGAACGAAGCUGUUUUAACUGGUGCUUGCACCGACUUAAACAACUGAGUGGCGAACGGGUGAGUAACACGGGGGUAACCUGUCACAAAGCGGGGGAUAACAUUUGGAGACAGAUGCUAAUACCGCAUAACCCCAGAAACCACAUGGUUUCUGUGUCAAAGAUGGUUUCGGCUAUCACUUUGGGAUGGACCCGCGGCGUAUUAGCUAGUUGGUAAGGUAAUGGCUUACCAAGGCAAUGAUACGGAGCGGAACUGAGAGGUUGAUCGGCCACAUUGGGUCUGAGACACGGCCCAAACUCCUACGGGAGGCAGCAGUAGGGAAUCUUCCACAAUGGACGAAAGUCUGAUGGAGCAACGCCGCGUGAGUGAAGAAGGUUUUCGGAUCGUAAAACUCUGUUGUCAGAGAAGAACGUGUGCGAGAGUAACUGUUCGUGCAGUGACGGUAUCUGGCCAGAAAGCCACGGCUAACUACGUGCCAGCAGCCGCAGUAA